rnacentral:rRNA from 1 species
UAAGGGCUGUGAAGCAAGACCGGAAGGACUUGUGGAGCGCUUAGAAGUGAGAAUGCCGGUAUGAGUAGCGAAAGAGGGGUGAGAAUCCCCUCCACCGAAUGCCUAAGGUUUCCUGAGGAAGGCUCGGCCGCUCAGGGUUAGUCGGGACCUAAGCCGAGGCCGAAAGGCGUAGGCGAUGGAUAACAGGUUGAUAUUCCUGUACCACCUCCUCACCAUUUGAGCAAUGGGGGGACGCAGGAGGAUAGGGUAAGCGCGGUAUUGGAUAUCCGCGUCCAAGCAGUUAGGCUGGGAAAUAGGCAAAUCCGUUUCCCGUGAAGGCUGAGCU